rnacentral:RNase_P_RNA from 1 species
GGGUAACCUAAGGGAUAGUGCAACAGAGAAUAGACAGCCGAUUUUUCGGUGAUGGUGAAACGGUGGGGUAAGAGCCUACCAGACUUUUGAGUAAUCUUAAGUGCUUUGUAAACCCAACCUGCAGCAAGAAGACUAGGUAUUUACUUCACAUUUUUGGUCUUCGCAAGACUACUAAAGUAAUUUAGUAGCUAGAUAAAUUAUUGUCUUAAAAACAAAACGCGGCUUAUUGGUUUACCUAAUAA